rnacentral:lncRNA from 1 species
GUAAAAAUAGAGGAUGAGAGUAGAAGACUUACCAACAAUCAAUGGAAAUGGGAUCUUAGUUGGUGGCAGUGAUUUUUCGAUGGUUAAAAGACACAAAAUUAAAUCAAAAUAGGACAAAGGUGGAAUAGAGAGAGAAAGGUGGUUAUGGCCGGCUGAUUCUGGGGCUAUGGUGGCUCAUUGACUGUCGAAGAAGAGGAAAGGAGGGAAGAGGGGGGAGAGAGCUCGAUGAUGCCAAACAUAGGGGAGGAGGGUUUAAAUAGAUGAUGGCCAUAGAAAGGAUAUAAUUGGCCUAAUACUAAUGGUUCAUUUAUUACACUGAUCUCCAAUAGCUAUCGACGGUUCAUACUGGCCCAAAGAAUCACACCAACCACCAUGUGGUGGUCUUAUCACCUGACGACGAGGAUUGGAUAGGGAAUUGCGAUCUCCCUUGUUCCAAUUCUAUUUAUUUUUUUUUCAAAAUUUUAAAUUGAAAUCGACAAAGAGCUUGAUGAUUUCAAAUCAAAAUCGACUCAGAUGGGUCGAGUUUCACACUGAGAGAGAGAGAG